AGCUCCAAUAGCGUAUAUUAAAGUUGUUGCAGUUAAAAAGCUCGUAGUUGCAUUUUGGGAGUGUGCGGAACUGGUCCGUCGGGAUGAUGUGUACCGUUCGGCCGCUUCUUUCCUUCUCAUUGCGGUGCCGGGUUCUUAAUUGGGCUCGGUUACGCCGUAUGAGAUCGUUUACUUUGAAAAAAGGAGAGUGUUCAAAGCAGGCAAAAUUUUAGCCGUUGAAUCUUCUAGCAUGGGAUAAUGGAAUAGGACUUUUGUUUUAUUUUGUUGGUUUUCAAAACGAAAGUAAUGAUCAACAGGGAUAGUUGGGGCCGUCCGUAUUUAAGAGUCAGAGGUGAAAUUCUUGGAUUUCUUAAAGACGAACUUCUGCGAAGGCAUUCGGCAAGGAUGUUUUCAUUA
rnacentral:rRNA from 1 species